rnacentral:sRNA from 1 species
CUCAGUUGGGAGAGCGCACGACUGAAGUUCAAAGAAAGAAUCAAAUCGAACGUAAUAAGAUCAGAAGCGUAUAGCGCCUACUUUUUAUCCAUCUUCGACGAUUUCAGUGAGACAGCACUGCUUCAAGGAGUCGGUUGACCAUGGCCUCGGAUAUCGUUGCGGCACGUACCUUAUGACAGUACUAAUGAUUCGAUUCGACAGAAUCACCACGUUGAUAAUUGAAUGUUGACAAUCAAAUCUAGAAAGACAACUUGGACAUUUAUAUCUGUGAUAUCUGAUAACCUGAACAUACGCCAACAACGAUGAAUUCCAACGCUUAAUGAGCGACACCUUCAACGCUGACUCCCGCCUCUUCGUCCUUACUUGUACUCUUCUCGCCUUCAGCUACACUUUCACGUUCAUGAUCCAACUCCGCAUUGGCAAUAGCAGGUGGCCACUUUUUGGAGCAGUAGACAAUGGCGACGGCAAUACCAACGGAUGCGGCACCCGUGACCAAAGUUGCAAUUUGGCCAUUUCGGAAACGGGGUGCUUCGACGACAGGCCAAGCCACAAUUUGAUACCACAGAUUCCAAACGCUAGAGAACACUAAUAUGCGAAUCAGCCGAGCCAAGGAUCGAACUUGGAUAUGCUUACAGUUCAUGGAAAACAGAGUCAACGACCUCACCACAUCGUCAUCCCUACACAUUUCAUUCGCCCAAGCAAAAUUGCUUGCUUGCCCCGCGUAGCCAAAGCCUCCGAUGAUGUAGGCAAACCAAUGAGCACCUUUGUUGAGAUGGUCCCAGUUAAGCAGCAUCACCGAUGAGACGAAGACGGCCAGAUACAUGAUAGGGUUGAUGAUGAAACGAUUGCGGGUAACAUCGGAGAUAACAGUGAGGAAAUAGGUGGACACAAUGGCAGUUGCAGUAAAGAUAGAAGGAUAGUAAGAAACUAUUUUCGGUUAAUGCUCAAAUUACUGUUACCAUGAAAAGGGUGACCUACUCUGGCUAGCGUUGUAUCCAGCAGCCCUGAGCCACAAGUUGAACUCCGUGUAUACCCCGACCUUCUCGAAUGCUGUGGCAGAUACGGUAAAUAGGAGAGUGAAUAAGUACCACCUCCACGUGGUAACAAGCCUCUUGAUGGAUUUGCCCAAGGACUUAAGAGUCAUUUUAUGAUGUUCAGCCGGAGGUAAACGUUGAACACAGAGUUCUCGUUCUUCUUCAGUAAGCCAGACUGCAUUGCCAGUAGUUUGGGGGGUACCAGGGAACAUCAAAAAACCGUAGAUAGCUUACACAGAUGUCAGCAUGCAGUGGGCGCACCGUAAAGUGUCUACUUACCAAUUGGAAUAGUAAUAAUGAAGUCGAUAA